rnacentral:rRNA from 1 species
UACAGAGGUGGCAAGCGUUGUUCGGAAUUACUGGGCGUAAAGGGCGCGUAGGCGGCUCGACAAGUCCCGCGUGAAAGCCCCCGGCUCAACUGGGGAACUGCGCGGGAAACUGUCGGACUUGAGUUCGGGAGAGGGAAGCGGAAUUCCGGGUGUAGCGGUGAAAUGCGUAGAUAUCCGGAGGAACACCGGUGGCGAAGGCGGCAUCCUGGACCGAGAUUGACGCUGAGGCGCGAAAGCCAGGGGAGCAAACGGG